CUGCCUGACCCUGUACAGCCAGGACAGCGCAGGGCCCCGAGCACCUCGCAAGGAGUCCGCAGCAGAGGCAGCCCAGAGGGGAGAGCAUCACCUGCCGAAACACCGCGACUGCUCCACCCGGCAAGGAUCUCAAAGUACUAAAUUUGAACUGAUGUGAAACAGCAGACUUCAGGGAGAGGCUGGUAUUCCUGUGAUUGCUUCCUUUUUCAUUAUAGAGAAAAAAGGAUUAAGAAAAAGAAACAGGCCUUCAUGUCCUUCUUGUCAUCCACUUUGCAAUUUCAAACCAAAUCACAAAGUCACAUUCCACCGUGGAACCAUUCCCAUCUGAUAAAGUUCUAAUGAAAUUGAUUUCAUCUUAAUAAUUCAGAGACUAUUUACUGCAGCUAAAUAGUUUUGACAUACUCUAGAUUUUAUAUGAAUCUUUGCCGACCGAGUUUAUUACAUAUGUUACACGCAUAGAAUCACCCACAUACAUUAUAUAUGUCUAUAUUUACCCACCCUUGCAAGAUACGUACCCCUAUUAAAAAAAAAAAUACAUUGCCAUGCAA